CCUACGGGCGGCAGCAGUGGGGAAUAUUGGACAAUGGGGGGAACCCUGAUCCAGCCAUGCCGCGUGUGUGAAGAAGGCCCUCGGGUUGUAAAGCACUUUCAGUGAGGAAGAACGCCUGGUGGUUAAUACCCAUCAGGAAAGACAUCACUCACAGAAGAAGCACCGGCUAACUCCGUGCCAGCAGCCGCGGUAAUACGGAGGGUGUGAGCGUUAAUCGGAAUUACUGGGCGUAAAGCGCGCGUAGGUGGCUUGAUAAGCCGGUUGUGAAAGCCCCGGGCUCAACCUGGGAACGGCAUCCGGAACUGUCAAGCUAGAGUGCAGGAGAGGAAGGUAGAAUUCCCGGUGUAGCGGUGAAAUGCGUAGAGAUCGGGAGGAAUACCAGUGGCGAAGGCGGCCUUCUGGACUGACACUGACACUGAGGUGCGAAAGCGUGGGUAGCAAACAGGAUUAGAUACCCCUGUAGUC
rnacentral:rRNA from 1 species